GGAAGGGGCGGGGCCAGGCGGGCGGGACCUGGACGGCCCGGGCCGCGGGAUGCUGCGCUGCGAUUGGCUUUGGAGGGAAAGGGAAGAUGCUGAGUUUCUUUACUUUUGGUGUUUCCACGUGUGGAGACGGAUGUGGCUAAGUUAUCGUGUCCCGUAUUAGGAUGUCAUUCCAGGGAAGCGUUCGUGGAGCACCUGCCACGUGUCAGGCACGAUUCUUGGCAUUUCUCGAUUCGACGGAAAACACAACUGCGAAGGGCGUUCUAGUCCAAGUGAAGGAAGGACAGACGGGAAGCUGUGAAUGAAUGUUGAGGAAGGAUGAACACUUUGCAGGUUCAGACAAGGAUUUACAACAUUGGGCACCAAAUCCCAGGCUUUCGGACUUGGACUGAAUCACACCACCAGCUUUCCUGGCUCUCCAGCUUGCAGACGGCAGAUUGUGGGACUUCUUGAUCACCAUAACUGUAGGAGCCAAGUCCCAUUAUAGAUUUUUUUUUUAUGUAUGUCUCUAUAUAUCCUACUGAAUCUGUUUCUCCAGAGAACUCUGACUGAUAAGCUUAGAACAAUUAACAAUUUAAACAUACUGGGACGCCUGGCUGACUCAGCGGUUCAGUGCCUGCCUUUGGCCCAGGGCGUGGUCCUGGAGUCCCGGGAUCGAGUCCCACAUCGGGCUCCCUGCAUGGAGCCUGCUUCUCCCUCUGCCUGUGUCUCUGCUUUUCUCUCUCUC